rnacentral:tRNA from 1 species
AUCUGUUUAGUAUAUAAGUAUUUUUGACUUCCAAUCAAAAGGUUUGGGUAACCCAAAAUAGAUA